AUACUGCUUCUCUGAAAGGGUGGUCAGGCACUGGAAUGGGCUGCCCAGAGAGGUGGUGGAGUCACCGAGCCUGGUGGUGUUCAAAGAGCGUUUGGAUGUUGUGUUGAGGGACAUGGUUUAGCGAGAACCAUUGGUGAUGGGCGAAUGGUUGGACUGGAUGAUCCUGUGGGUCUUUUCCAACCUUAGCGAUUCUAUGAUUCUAUGA
rnacentral:lncRNA from 1 species